GACGAACGCUGGAGGCGUGCUUAACACAUGCAAGUCGAACGAUGAAAUGGAGCUUGCUCCAUGGAUUAGUGGCGAACGGGUGAGUAACACGUGAAUAACCUGCCCUUAAUUUUGGAAUAACCCAGGGAAACCUGGGCUAAUACCGGAUAAGUAAACCUGUGGCAUCACAUGGUUUUGGAAAGUUUUUCGAUUAAGGAUGGAUUCGCGGCCUAUCAGCUUGUGGGUGAGGUAAUGGCUCACCAAGGCGACGACGGGUAGCCGGCCUGAGAGGGUGAACGGCCACAGUGGGACUGAGACACGGCCCAGACUCCUACGGGAGGCAGCAGUGGGGAAUAUUGCGCAAUGGACGAAAGUCUGGCGCAGUGACGCCUCGUGAGGGACGAAGGUCUUCGGAUUGUAAACCUCUUGCAGCAGGGACGAAGCGAAAGUGACGGUACCUGCAGAAGAAGCACCGGCUAACUAUGUGCCAGCAGCCGCGGUAA
rnacentral:rRNA from 1 species